rnacentral:rRNA from 1 species
CCUACGGGUGGCAGCAGUGGGGAAUAUUGCACAAUGGGGGGAACCCUGAUGCAGCGACGCCGCGUGGGUGAGGAAGUACUUCGGUAUGUAAAGCCCUAUCAGCAGGGAAGUAAAUGACGGUACCUGACUAAGAAUCCCCGGCUAACUUCGUGCCAGCAGCCGCGGUAAUACGUAGGGUGCAAGCGUUAUCCGGAUUUACUGGGUGUAAAGGGAGCGUAGAGGGGGUGCCAAGUCUGUUGUGAAAGGUUGGGGCUCAACCUCGAGACUGCAUUGGCAACUGGCAGGCUGGAGUACCGUAGAGGCAAGCGGAAUUCCUGGUGUAGCGGUGAAAUGCGUAGAUAUUAGGAAGAACACCGAUGGCGAAGGCAGCUUGCUGGACGGUAACUGACAUUGAGGCUCGAAAGCGUGGGGAGCAAACAGGAUUAGAUACCCCUGUAGUC